rnacentral:rRNA from 1 species
AUUGAACGCUGGCGGCAUGCCUUACACAUGCAAGUCGAACGGUAACAGCACUUCGGUGGCUGACGAGUGGCGGACGGGUGAGUAAUACAUCGGAACGUGCCCGAUCGUGGGGGAUAACUACUCGAAAGAGUGGCUAAUACCGCAUACGAUCUACGGAUGAAAGCGGGGGAUCGCAAGACCUCGCGCGGACGGAGCGGCCGAUGGCAGAUUAGGUAGUUGGUGGGAUAAAAGCUUACCAAGCCGACGAUCUGUAGCUGGUCUGAGAGGACGACCAGCCACACUGGGACUGAGACACGGCCCAGACUCCUACGGGAGGCAGCAGUGGGGAAUUUUGGACAAUGGGGGAAACCCUGAUCCAGCCAUGCCGCGUGCAGGAUGAAGGCCUUCGGGUUGUAAACUGCUUUUGUACGGAACGAAAAAGCUCUCUCUAAUACAGGGGGUGAAUGACGGUACCGUAAGAAUAAGCACCGGCUAACUACGUG